rnacentral:lncRNA from 1 species
GAAAGUAGAAAAAGGAGGGAGACAACCUCAAUGAGAGGCGACGAUGUAAUGAAUUAUACUGUUCUGAGCUCCAUCUUUUUAGUAUUUGAGGUGAGAAGCUGAUGCUCUUUGUUCUUAUCUACUUGAGUUUCGUAAAUAGAUGAUGUUUUGUUAUUGCCAUUAAAUCUUUCCCGUUCACUUUAAAUUGUCCGCAAAGAAACUGAUUUCAUCCAAAACAUAGUGAUCACAUGAUUCCGCCGAGUCCUACGAUCCUCGAGGAUGAAUGAGACAAGCAGUGUGGUCGCCACCGAUUGCCUGUCCUGCUCUGCAACAAUCAGUCCCAACAGAAUCACCAACCUGUCCUAAAAAUAAAAAAAAUAAAAAGCUUG